GACGAACGCUGGCGGCGUGCUUAACACAUGCAAGUCGAACGGAAAGGCCCUGCUUUUGUGGGGUGCUCGAGUGGCGAACGGGUGAGUAACACGUGAGUAACCUGCCCUUGACUUUGGGAUAACUUCAGGAAACUGGGGCUAAUACCGGAUAGGAGCUCCUGCUGCAUGGUGGGGGUUGGAAAGUUUCGGCGGUUGGGGAUGGACUCGCGGCUUAUCAGCUUGUUGGUGGGGUAGUGGCUUACCAAGGCUUUGACGGGUAGCCGGCCUGGGAGGGUGACCGGCCACAUUGGGCCUGAGGUACGGACCAGACUCCUACGGGAGGCAGCAGUGGGGAAUAUUGCACAAUGGGCGGAAGCCUGAUGCAGCAGCGCCGCGUGCGGGAUGACGGCCUUCGGGUUGUAAACCGCUUUCGCCUGUGACGAAGCGUGAGUGACGGUAAUGGGUAAAGAAGCACCGGCUAACUACGUG
rnacentral:rRNA from 1 species